rnacentral:rRNA from 1 species
AUUGAACGCUGGCGGCAUGCUUUACACAUGCAAGUCGAACGGUAACAGGCCGCAAGGUGCUGACGAGUGGCGAACGGGUGAGUAAUGCAUCGGAACGUGCCCAGUCGUGGGGGAUAACUACUCGAAAGAGUAGCUAAUACCGCAUACGAUCUAUGGAUGAAAGCGGGGGACCGUAAGGCCUCGCGCGAUUGGAGCGGCCGAUGUCAGAUUAGGUAGUUGGUGGGGUAAAGGCUCACCAAGCCAACGAUCUGUAGCUGGUCUGAGAGGACAACCAGCCACACUGGGACUGAGACACGGCCCAGACUCCUACGGGAGGCAGCAGUGGGGAAUUUUGGACAAUGGGCGCAAGCCUGAUCCAGCAAUGCCGCGUGCAGGAAGAAGGCCUUCGGGUUGUAAACUGCUUUUGUACGGAACGAAACGGCUCUGGUUAAUACCCGGGGCUAAUGACGGUACCGGAAGAAUAAGCACCGGCUAACUACGCG